UAAAUUAAAUGAUGACUACUUUACCGCCCCAGUCUGAUGUCCGUGACUGAUUGGUUUUCUGAUUUUCG